rnacentral:rRNA from 1 species
GAGAGGACCGGAGUGGACGAACCUCUGGUGUUCGGGUUGUGUCGCCAGACGCAUUGCCCGGUAGCUAAGUUCGGAAUCGAUAACCGCUGAAAGCAUCUAAGCGGGAAGCGAGCCCUGAGAUGAGUCUUCCCUGAUACUUUAAGUAUCCUAAAGGGUUGUCGGAGACUACGACGUUGAUAGGUCAGGUGUGUAAGUGCUGUGAGGCAUUGAGCUAACUGAUACUAAUUGCCCGUGAGGCUUAACCAUACA